GGGGCUGGGGCUCAGUGGUAGAGCGCAUGCCUAGCACGUGUGAGGCACUGGGUUUGAUUCUCAGCACCA
rnacentral:tRNA from 1 species